CUUUGCCAUGCUGCUGUAAGGUCCUAAAGUAGAUAAAACCUAAGUUGCAAUUCCGGUUUUCCUCAAAAUCUAAGACAUGUCACAAAAUAAUUUACUGCCUUUGUUGAUCUCGCUCCUGUAACAAGCUUCCUGCCUCACGUAUCUCCCGCCUUAAAGAGUUUAAAAGGCAAUCACCCAAAACCAACCGUGGCUACCCAUUCAAGACUGUUUCCACACUGUGGAAGCUUUGUACUUUCACUCUGCUCAAUAAAGCCUGCAGCUUUUUCUCACUCUCAGUCCAUGUCUCUUUCACUCACUGUGGUCAGCUUCCACACCAUUUCUUUGGUGUGGCUUGGCAAGAACCUCAGGUGUUACAUCUUGGCGAGCCAGACAGGAGACUCCAGAAAAGGUAUCUAGAUCAUCAUGCAGGGUGAUUUUCCUGUACCAGUCCAAUGCCUCCAGAGGAAGAUCAUACAUUUGCCAUUUUACUGCUUAGUACGCAUGCUUGAGCCUGCUCGCCCAACUGCUGAGAUCUUAUUCAGAAACUGCUGAUCACCAACUCCAGGUGUUUUUAUUACACAAGACAAAAACGGAAAAACAGUAACAAAUGAUUGGUUAAGCCUUUCAAAACAAAGAAGUUAUGCCUGGAGUGGGAGGAACAUUACACUAUACUUCUUUCUCCUCCUUCAUUAGUGAAGGUCACUGGAAUAGGUUCAUUACACUCAAGCAAAGGCCUGGGGAAAUGAUAGAAUUACCUCUGUUGACCCAGAAGAGCACCAAAAGCACCAGUGUGCAGAAAUCAGAGACCUCAAGCUAAAAGUCAUAAAAGGACAAGAACCUGGAAGUCGUCGAACUGUGGAAGCAAAAGACCUGUAAUGCUCCUGCUUGCCGAGCUGUGAGCAGUGGUAGUAAAAGAGCAGUAACAUUCUCUCCUGCUUGCCAAACAGGAGAGAAGCCACUGGCACCACUCCCUCCCACUCACUGAACUAUAGAAGAGAAAAAAUUGAAACACCAAAAUUGGGGAAAUGCGACUUUUGCGAAAAUUUGAAAGUGCAUGCUUCACAGAAGGAAGGGGGAGCUGGUCUAUUAUGUCUCACUAUAACAAGACUAAAAUUUUGCAAAUAAAUUGUUCCUGCCAUAAUUUAUCCUUGGUAGAAAUGAAGAAAUUGGAGAGAGAAAAAAUUGGAUUCUAGGUCCUGACCAUUGUUUUUGAAUUUUUAUUAUUUUCCUACAAUUUAGGCUAAAUUCUGAACUAUUUGCUGGCUACAAGAGGCCUCUAAAAAAGAGCUGGGUUUUAGUUUUCUUCAUGCUCUUUAAAAACUGGCAUAUAAUGGUGUGUAUCUCUCGUUGUUUUACUUCUAAGAAACUGAAGGCAUGAUAUUCUGAAGACUAGAGGUGAUUCAAUAGCCUAUGAAUCUUCUUCAUUUGGAACCCCACUGGGCCUGAUCUGUUUCCCAUCACCAAUGCACUUCUGCUAAACCUAUAUCCUAUCAAGUACUCUCCCUAAAUGCUCAGAGACCAUAACAGAAGAUGAGGGUGUGUGAGAUUAUAAAAGCCAAAUUAGUGGAGUGGAAUCUGGAGGCUAAAGCAACUCCAUCUUGGAUGCUAAUCUGCCAUGUUGGCUUCUGAUUAACCCCAGUUCUGGAGGGCCUCUGAGGUUUCCAAUUUAUCUACUGUCCCUUGUGUAAGAACAAGUACUUAUCAUAAAUCCUGCUAUUAGGGCAAAUUUCUACCCAUUCCCUCUGAAGCAUGUGCACCUCUCCUCUACAUGUAAUCUCCCCUACAAUAGAUAAACCCCUCUGGGUCUGGGGGCUAAUAGUGUGGGAACCCAUCAUCUUGCCUCACUGCUGCACAAGCCACAGGUGUGGCUUCUGUUUCUAAGUCCCUAUUAAAUGUUUCUAGAUACCAGAUGUAUCAACCUCUUUCUUCAGCCUCUCAGCUUCCUGGGACUUUGGGGUUGGUUUGCAUAGACCUACCCACCAAAAAACUCUCACAGAGUCAGUCUUAAAUACAUACAGAGCACGGUUGGGAAAAUUCCAUGAAUAUUUAUAGGGGAAGUCAUGUGCUUGAAAAUUGGAUAAACUUGUAUGUAACAUACAUUCCAUUUUGACCUGGGGGUGAGGUUUCAGCUGGGAUUCGACUGUUUAUGUCAAAAGGUAAACUCUAGGGCAAAAAGAAUUUGGACAUAGUCUCUGCAAGCUGACUGAAACUGGCUUAAGAUCUAUGGUCACUUAUCAAUAAAGAAUGUGAUAAAAAC
rnacentral:lncRNA from 1 species